rnacentral:lncRNA from 1 species
UACUAAUAGUUUUCUAUUAAACAGUAGGUUAUAUUGGUCCAUUCAUUCAUGUACUAAAAUAUUUUCUCAGUAUCUUCUGUUUCAAGCACUAUGCUAGAUUCUAUUGAGAAGGCAGUGAGCAGAAGAAGCACAAAACUUUUUCUUAAAAUGCUAAUAGCAGGACAGUCAGACAGAUAAGCAAUAACAAACUGUGCUAAGUAGUAGAGGAGUCCUGUGGGAGUAGGUAACUGCAGCCCUGUGUUAUUAUUAUUAAGUGUAGCCUCAAUUAAGCUUGGUAGCAAAUUAACCCAGAAAUCUCAAUGAUUUAUCACACAAGGAAUUUUUCACACAAGUAAUGUCCAGUUUCUGUCAGGCACUGUUCCUCCAUCUUGCAGAAACAUGUGGCUUCUUCAGGUGUCAUGACAGAGAAAGUAGGAGGUAGAGAAUUGGACAUGUUUAUUAAAGACAGUCCUGUAAGUGGUUUACAUCCUUCUCCCCCACAUCUUACUGACCAGAAACUAACCACAUUCCCCCAACCUUACUGGAAGGCAUGCUAGAAAAUGCAGAGGGAGGUACAUUUGACUAUUUGUUGAGCACAAACUCUACCACUGGUCUUUACCACAAUUGGACAAUUUAGAAAAGGAUUCCCCGGAAGCCAUGGCAUUUGACUGAAACCUGAAAAAUAAGUAGUUAGACCAGAAGAGAUGGAUUAUCUCAGGUAGAAAUAAUCUUGUACCAAUGUUUAGAAGAAAGAGAAGGAUGGCACUUCAAAGAAUUGAAGUUGAGUUCAUUAUUUGAACUUUGAAUGUAAGGGGAAGGCAGGUAGGGAUACAGUCUUGAAGGACUUUAAAAGCCAUUUUAAGGUAUUUAAAAAUUGUUCUUAAGGCAAGGAGAAGCCAUUGGAAGGUUUAUAGCAUGAUAAAGUUUGAGUAAGGUGAGUAGAAUAAUGUAAUAAAGUAAUGUAAAGAAGAAUAGAAAAGAAAUAGAUUGAGGAGAUAUUUAAGAGGUAUAGUUAAUAGACUUGUGGUUGCCAAGGGGGAAGGGGAGGGAGUGGGAGGGACUGGGCGCUUGGGGUAAAUAGAUGCAGAAUGUUGCAUUUGGGAUGGAUUGGCAAUGGGAUCUUGCUGUAUAGCCCUGGGAACUCUGUCUAGUCACUUAUGAUGGAACACUUAAUGUGAGAAAAAAUAAAUGUAUACAUGUAUGUGUAACUGGGUCACCAUGCUGUACAGUAGAAAAAAUAUAUAUAUAAAUAAAUUAUUUACAAAAGGGGACAAACAAACAAGACAUCAAAGUGUUGCUGUCUAAACAAGAUUUAAAACAUGGGUCUGGAGAUCAGAGGAGAGAUCUGAGCAGAAGACACAGAUUUAGGAUUUAUCAGGAUAUAGAUCAUAACUGAAACCACAAAGAGUAGAUGAGUUUGUACAGGGUAAAUGCAUACUGUAAGGAGGAAAGAGGGCCUUUGGCAGAGGUUCUUAACUUUCACAAUGUAUCUGAAUUACCUAUUGAGCUUUCUAAAACUAUGUACCUAGGCCCCACUCUCCAGGGAUUAUGAUUCAUUUGGUCUUUGUGUGUCCUAAGAUAUCCUGUGCUUCAGAAGCUCCCACAGUGAUUCAGCCAAGGUUGAGAAUCAUUGAUGAUGAGAAAGAAGGAACACUGUCUGGUGUCUCCAAGGUGAAGAAGAACCUGAAUCAAAAGCUUCUGAGAAGUAAUGAAAAAUAAUAAUCAAAAAGUGUCAUUGGUGAACCCUUCCAUAACUCAGCUGUGGAGCGGAAGACUGUAGAGUCAAAUGUAUGAUCAAAAACUGUCAUUGAAUUUGCCAAUAUGAAUAUGAAUUAAUGAUUUAAAUUAAUGGUCAUGGAAGCCUAGUUGCGGUAAUUGAGUAGUAAGUGGGAGAUAGGGAAAAGAAGAUAGUUGAUGUCUCCACUCUUUCAUGGAGUUUGAUUAUAAAAAUAGAUAAACAAAUGAAGGAGAAAAAAGGGCACCAGCUGGAGAGAACAUGAGUUUAGAAAAGAGCUCUUUUAUAAUGGGAGAGACUUGAACAUGUUUAUCUGCUAAAGGCCCUAGAGAGACCGAACAGAUCAGCAACAGACCUGAUAAACACGCAAGAGGAGUGAGACUGAAAAACCAGAGUACAAAAAGAGAAAUAACUUUCUAUUCUAAGAGGAGGGAAGAAAGAAUUCAUUUGUAGCAAUGGUGGUACAAAACUGGUGUGUUGCAUUCUCAUCUCAUCUAAGAGCAAUGAUUUUUUUUUUUUCUGUUAAACACCACUUUAUAUGAUCUACUAGGAGUGAGGGAAGAGAUGGUGAGGACAGUUUUUACAGAAAUGAUGAGUGUUUGAAACAAUCACUGUGGAGGAUGAGUGAGCUAAAGAGGAAAAGCUAAUAGGAUAACCAGGCAUCGCUGAGGCCCAGAUUGAGGAUGCUGAGCAAGGAUUUACGGUGGCCACUAUCUGCAGAGCUUUAUAUUCUGUAAUUUUUCUCUUGAAGCCUCCAGGAUCCCAGGUACAAUGGAAGGACAAUAGGGCAAGGGAAUUGACUAUAUUGACAGGGGAGUGGUUUAAGUGAUGUACAGUGCAAUAAAAGCAGACUAGGGAAG